UAGAUUUGUCUUAAGUCAAACUUUUUAAUGUUUGACCAACUUUUUUGAAAAGAGUAGGAACACAUAUGACAUCAAAUCGGUACAUUCAAAAUGGAUCUAAUGAUACCGAUUUAAUGUCAUAAAUGUUGUUACAUAUGUCAAUAAAAUUGGUCAAAUUUAGAAAAGUUUGACUUAGAACAAACAUAA
rnacentral:pre_miRNA from 1 species